CCUACGGGAGGCAGCAGUUAGGAAUUUUGCACAAUGGGCGAAAGCCUGAUGCAGCAACGCCGCGUGGACGAUGAAGGCCUUCGGGUCGUAAAGUCCUUUUCAGAGGGAAGAAACGGACGGUACCUCUGGAAUAAGCCUCGGCUAACUACGUGCCAGCAGCCGCGGUAAUACGUAGGUGGCGAGCGUUGUCCGGAUUUAUUGGGCGUAAAGCGCACGCAGGCGGUUCGUCAAGUCUCUGGUGAAAUCUCCCGGCUCAACUGGGAGGGGUCCGGAGAUACUGGCGGACUUGAGGGGACCAGAGGAGAGUGAAAUUCCCGGUGUAGGGGUAAAAUGCGUAGAUAUCGGGAGGAA
rnacentral:rRNA from 1 species